rnacentral:rRNA from 1 species
UGGGGGAUAUUGCACAAUGGGCGAAAGCCUGAUGCAGCGACGCCGCGUGGGGGAUGAAGGCCUUCGGGUUGUAAACUUCUUUUGCUCUAACCAGGGAUUCCAAAUGGGGGGGUGGGUUGUGGGGUUUGUUUAGCCCCGCCUACCUCCUUGCAGCAACCCGCGGUAUUCGUAGGGGCGCAGGGUUUGCCCGGAAUUAUUGGGCGUAAAGGGCUUGUAGGUGGCUGGUUGGGUCUGUCGUGAAAGCUCAUGGCUUAACUGUGGGUUUGCGGUGGGUACGGGCUGGCUUGAGUGCAGUAGGGGAGGCUGGAAUUCCUGGUGUAGCGGUGGAAUGCGCAGAUAUCAGGAGGAAUACCGGUGGCGAAGGCGGGUCUCUGGGCUGUUACUGACACUGAGGAGCGAAAGCAUGGGGAGCGAACAGG